rnacentral:rRNA from 1 species
ACGAGCGUUAUCCGGAAUUAUUGGGCGUAAAGCGCACGCAGGCGGCUUAUCAAGUCUGACGUGAAAUCUCCCAGCUUAACUGGGAGCGGUCGUUGGAAACUGAUGGGCUUGAGGCAAGGAGAGGGGUGUGGAAUUCCCGGUGUAGUGGUGGAAUGCGUAGAGAUCGGGAGGAACAUCAGUGGCGCAAGCGGCACCCUGGCCUUGGCCUGACGCUCAGGUGCGAAAGCGUGGGGAGCGAACGGG